GUGAGCCGUGUGAUGGGAAAACUUCCCGCACGGUUCGGAGAGCACUGAAGACGAAUGAGAGGUUCACCACCACAUCAUUGCAAGGGGAGCUCGCUCGAUUCGCAGAUUGGUCUGACUCGUAAUUCACUUUUGACUCCGU
rnacentral:ncRNA from 1 species